rnacentral:lncRNA from 1 species
AUCUUUCUGUCUCUCUCCCUCUCAAUCAAGUGUAUUGAAAUUGUGAAUCUUUCUUCGGAGGAAACAAGAGAUUUGUCCUGUUUCUGGGAUUUUUUGUCCUGAUUUGAUCCCAUCUCUGACACCUUUGUCUAUAGAUGGUUUUCUGAUUCUGGGUUCUUCCAAAUUUCUUAACUUUGUUGUUUGUUCCUCCUCCUUUAGUUAUGGCUUGGAAUGAGACCAAACUCAAGAGGCUCUAUCAAGUUUGGAGAGGAAGCAAUGUAAGUUCUUGUCUAAUGUCGCUUUGGUGUUUGAUUCAUAUACUCUAUAGGUUCAGUGGUUGUUAGUAUCUUUGAGUCUUGAUUGGUUCAUAUAUAGAAACUUCAGGUUCUUAAUUUGUGAUUUUGACUUUGAUUUUUCUCCAGAAAUUUCUUUGUGGAGGGAGGUUAAUCUUUGGUCCAGAUGCAUCAUCUCUAUACCUAUCGACCAUCUUGAUCCUCGGUCCCUCGGUGAUGUUCUUUGUAAAAAUGUACUUGAAAAUGGCUGAUCCUCUCACCAAGAAUCGAAACCUCUGUGUUCCAAUUCUCUCUGUCGCUUGGAUACUCACCCUUUUGGUAUGUCUUCUUCUUUCCCAUCUCUGUAGAUGAUGACGACUUUAUUGUCUUAAUGUAAACUAAAGCUUCAAUAGUUUUCUUUCAGGACAUAUUUUUCCUCUUCAUGACAUCUGGUAGAGAUCCUGGGAUUGUGCCUAGAAGUCUUAGACCUCCUGAAUCAGAUGAUGUACCUGACUCAACUACUCCUUCCAUGGAAUGGGUUAGCGGUAGAACCCCAAAUAUAAGGCUACCAAGGGUUAAAGAUGUAACUGUUAAUGGCCAUACCGUAAAAGUCAAGUUCUGUGAUACUUGUUUGCUUUACCGUCCACCUAGAGCUUCUCAUUGUUCCAUCUGCAACAACUGUGUACAGAGGUUCGACCAUCACUGCCCUUGGGUUGGCCAGUGCAUUGGAGUGGUAAGUCAGAAAACAUAUUCUCGAGUACUAUGUUGUCUAUGUGUUUUGAAAUUGUUUUUAACUCUUUGCAGAGAAACUACCGGUUCUUCUUCAUGUUCAUAUCAACAUCAACCACUCUGUGCGUAUAUGUGUUUGUGUUCUCUUGGUUGAACUUAUUCCAAAGACAUAUGGAUGAGAAGAUUACCAUCUGGAAAGCAAUAUCCAAAGAUGUUCUGUCUGAUAUUCUCAUUGUUUACUGCUUCAUUACCGUUUGGUUUGUUGGUGGGCUCACUAUAUUUCAUUCCUACCUCAUCUGCACUAACCAGGUGAUUAGAAAUAUAACCAUCCUUUGUGUUUCUCUCUCUCUCUUUUUGUGUGUUCUAAUUCUGAAUGUGUUUUUGUGCAGACUACUUAUGAGAACUUCCGUUACCGAUAUGAUAAGAAGGAGAAUCCAUACAACAAAGGAGUUUUGGGGAACAUAAGGGAAAUAUUUCUAUCUAAGAUUACUCCAUCCAUGAACAAGUUUAGAUCAUUUGUGAAAGAAGAAGAUUACAUGAUGGUUGAAACUCCUACAUCAAAUCUUGGUGAAAGUCUAGUGAGCUCAAAAGAGAAGAUUGAUAUUGAGAUGGGAGGAGGAGGAAGGAUUGUUGAUGAGGGUGGAAAAACUUACUCACUCCCUGAGAUUCUCAGGAAUCUAAACUAUGAAGACCUUGACGAUGACUGUGAGGAAGAUGACUUGAAGGCCAAGGAUCAUCACCACCACCUCCACCAUCAUCAUCAGAAUGAGGAAAUCAUCCCUCCUUUUGACCCUUUCUUCACCAAUGACAAUGGUGUUAACAAGGAUGAGAAAAAUGGACAAGAAUCAAGAGGAUCUUCAAGUGAUAAUGGAGAUUCAGGGAAACACGUUGGAGUCUCCACUGAUGAUGAAGAAAAAGCUGAAGGGUAUGAACAAAAAUGGAGUAUGGACAGUGUCAUGAACAUAAACGCAGGAUCUGAAGAUGGAGCAAGCUCUCCUCAAUCUACUUCCCCAAUGCUUCGUAAAUAGAGGUAAUGAAAAUUAAGGAUUAUCCCUCUCUGUUCUGUGUUGCCUUGCUUUACAAGAUACCAUUUUUUUUUACUAACACUGUCUUUGUUAAAAAAUGAAGGGCUUGAAGCUGGAGAAGUGGAGAAUGUUCUUUGUCAUUCUUUUAACUGUGUUUCAUAUAAUUGUGGAGAAAGAAAAAUCCAGAGAAAUAAUAAACAUUGUAGGUUUUGUGCGUUUGAGGUGUAUUAGUUUUUUGUUUUCAUUUUAGUUGUAUUUAUAUUCACAUAUUUUUGUUAUUAAAAUGAUUUGGACCACGAAUUGUAAUGUAUACGAUUGUACUUGAAUAUUAUUUUCUUUUUAUUUAUUUGUUGGUUGAUUGAUUUUCAUUUUCCAUGUGUUAUUUCUCUUCUAGGCAUAGGCAUGUGCGUUCGGGUUUCGGGUUUACAGUCAAAGGUUCUAAUUUAAUUUUUUUUAGAGCGGAUCGGUUUUAGAUAAUAUCACUUCAGGUUUAGUUCAAAAUUGUGUUGCAUUGUAAAAUCUAUAAAGUAAUCAAAUAUCUGUCGGUUUUAAGUUUUUUGGUUCGGUUCGGAUUAUACUAAAAUAACAUACAAAAUUAUGAAACAGAUCAUGUGAAACAUAAUCCUUAAUCUGAAAUGAAAACUACUAGGCACACAUCCAAUCCGAAAAGGACACUCCAUAGUUCAAUAAAACCAAAAAAACAACAUUCCAUAGUUCAAUCACAGCCGAAACAACAAUAUUCGAUAGUCGAAUAAUACCUGAAGAAAACAGUGAAAUGACUAGAGUCCAUUAAUUCUUAUACACCUGGAAAUUUGGGUUGCGAUAAAAACGAGUUAUGCAAAUUAAUGCAAAAAGUUACAAGAAACCUUCACCAUUAUGCAAAUAUAAUCAUCAAACAUGAAAAUCUUCAAAAGGCAACUCAUAACAGUGUAAUUAGACGUGAAUCCUUAGAAAACAAGUAAAAUUAUCAACAGUAAAAUUGUCUAGAUAAUAUUUGUGAUAGUUCACAAUAUCAUAACUAACUAGCAUUGAAUAAAUCAUAUAGUAUACUUCAGUUUCCAUAAAAUAAUAUUUUAUAUAAAUAAUUUCAAAUUUAUGUAGUUUAUUUACGAUAAAAAUUUGUUUUAGUGCAAUUUGAAAUUAUUUCUCAAGUUAUAUUUUAAUUUUAAUUUUUUUGUUAUUAAGCAGAUUGUCCCUUAGAACUUGCAUGAAAAUUUUAUAGUAAAUAAACAAUAGGUGAUACACUUGGUGAACUCAAGCAGUUGUACCAAUCAAAUCACUCUCUUUCAACUUAACUUUUCCUUACAGAUUUCUCUUUUGAGACCUGGAAGAUGAACGUUCACAAUGUAAUGCUCCCAAUCAAUGCUUUUUAUAUCGAACUCAAAUAUUUUUCUCUCUUCCAUUGACAUCUCCUGAAUAAGACUCCUCGUAUUGGUGUCAUCAAACCUAGGAUAUUGACCAAUAUUCAGUAAUUUAAUAAAUAAAAAAAGUCCAAGCUUGUUACUUACCGAGCUUUAAAAAAUGUGUAAGGCUCAUAUGUUCUUGCUAAGGACACAAAAUAGUUUAGUAUCCCUCUUCCCUUGAAGCUCAAUGUGGUAUGUGACUCUUCUGCUUCUCCUCCUUCAUUCUUAGUUCCUCUUUCCUGUUUUGCUAUUAUGUCGAAUACAGAAGAGGUGAAGCUCUCUAAGGAACUAUGGAAUUUCAUUCGCGCUAAGUCUAUCACUGUCAAUGGAAAGUCAUACAGAUGUUGAUAACAGAGGUCCAUCAACUCGGCAACUCGUAGGGGAUUCGCAUGAGAAGAAGUGACAUUGUAAACUUUGAACUCGGAGAAACCACAACCAUGCUUUGCCAUUGCUGCUAUAGUUGCGUUCACAACCAUAUCAACAGGUAUAAUGUCCGCGAAAGAUUGAGAAUCUCCCCAGAGGCCAGAAAUCUGGCCUUUGCCAUAGGCCAAGAUUAUUGGAUCACUCAUCCUGAUUUUUAGAAACCAUAAAAACAUGAAUCAAGAGCUGAUCUAAUCCCUUAGUCUUUAACAAUGAAAAUCUUUAACCUUAUUCCUUGGAGCCAGCCAGGGAAAGGCUCCUUGUAAGAGCUUUCUAUAAUGCUAGGCCUUAUGAUCGCUACAGGCACAUCUUCUCGCAUGGUUUGGAUUAAUGGGUUUCUUAUAAAUGAAAAUAAUUAGAAAAAAUAAAAAAGCAAAUAAAUGGAUGAGAGAGACAAGAGAACGUCUCUUCUCUUAAGGGCAACCCUAUUAAUGGGAUCUAAACAAGUAUCCAACAGUGAAAACAGUGAAAAAAAUUGAAAAAGGAGGAGAGGGACAAAGAAAUGACUCUGGUUUUAGAACCUCAACAAAAAAAACCAACAUAGUUUUUGUCUAUAUGUUGCUUCAUGAUUAGCUACAUCAUUAUUUGUGAUUUAAAAUUAAUUAUUAACUAAAUUAAAUUCAAUUAGAAACCCAUGGAACUGCUUAACGAGGAGACUUUGUCCAAAGUUACAAGAGACGCUUGCCAUUUGUCUAUUAUUUAUUGGCUUAUUUUUUUUGAUAUUAAAAUUUUUGUUUGAGAAACUGUGUAAAGUUUGGAUCACUGCAGGUGCCCUAAUAAUGUGCAGAGAGUAUUAUUUCCCCUUCAUCCUCACCUUUGGAUACCAAGUUCUUUCAGAUUCUUGAUUUCUCCACUGCCAUGCAACUUUCUCACAGCUUCUGAAGCUAAUUUCAGCUCAUGUUCGAUGUUCAAGUCAGAAGUUAUAUUUUCUCCAUUAGAUUUUUAGUUGGCCGACUUUAAACAAUUAAUUAAAAUUAAUCUUAAAGUAAACAAGAAACUGAGAUCCCUUCUUACAGACAUCCUUCUCGCAUAAUCAGUUUUCUUAAUUACAUACCAUGUCCGACCAUUAUCUCAUGAUCUCAAGCAAAUUAAAAAAACAUUUUCUUUUUCGAAAAAAAUAAAUAAAGAAAGAGAAGAUAGAAGAGAGAAAGGGAUCGCAAUUUGCAAACAUCUGUAAUAAUUAUUCUUUGUGAUUUCGAGAGGAGAGGACAGCUCCAAUCUUUCUGUCUCUCUCCCUCUCAAUCAAGUGUAUUGAAAUUGUGAAUCUUUCUUCGGAGGAAACAAGAGAUUUGUCCUGUUUCUGGGAUUUUUUGUCCUGAUUUGAUCCCAUCUCUGACACCUUUGUCUAUAGAUGGUUUUCUGAUUCUGGGUUCUUCCAAAUUUCUUAACUUUGUUGUUUGUUCCUCCUCCUUUAGUUAUGGCUUGGAAUGAGACCAAACUCAAGAGGCUCUAUCAAGUUUGGA